AUAUCAAUAAGCGGAGGAAAAGAAACCAACAGGGAUUGCCCUAGUAACGGCGAGUGAAGCGGCAACAGCUCAAAUUUGAAAUCUGGCCUCCGGGUCCGAAUUGUAAUUUGUAGAGGAUGCUUUUGGUGAGGUGCCUUCCGAGUUCCCUGGAACGGGACGCCAUAGAGGGUGAGAGCCCCGUCUGGUUGGACACCGAUCCUCUGUAAAGCUCCUUCGACGAGUCGAGUAGUUUGGGAAUGCUGCUCUAAAUGGGAGGUAUAUGUCUUCUAAAGCUAAAUAUUGGCCAGAGACCGAUAGCGCACAAGUAGAGUGAUCGAAAGAUGAAAAGCACUUUGAAAAGAGAGUUAAAAAGUACGUGAAAUUGUUGAAAGGGAAGCGCUCAUGACCAGACUUGGGCUUGGUUGAUCAUCCAGGGUUCUCCCUGGUGCACUCUUCCAGUUCAGGCCAGCAUCAGUUCGCUGUGGGGGAUAAAGGCUUCGGGAAUGUGGCUCCUUCGGGAGUGUUAUAGCCCGUUGUGUAAUACCCUGUGGUGGACUGAGGUUCGCGCAUUCGCAAGGAUGCUGGCGUAAUGGUCAUCAGCGACCCGUCUUGAAACACGGACCAAGGAGUCGUCUUCGUAUGCGAGUGUUCGGGUGUUAAACCCCUACGCGUAAUGAAAGUGAACGCAGGUGAGAGCUUCGGCGCAUCAUCGACCGAUCCUGAUGUUCUCGGAUGGAUUUGAGUAAGAGCAUACGGGGCCGGACCCGAAAGAAGGUGAACUAUGCCUGUAUAGGGUGAAGCCAGAGGAAACUCUGGUGGAGGCUCGCAGCGGUUCUGACGUGCAAAUCGAUCGUCAAAUAUGGGCAUGGGGGCGAAAGACUAAUCGAACCUUCUAGUAGCUGGUUUCCGC
rnacentral:rRNA from 1 species